rnacentral:rRNA from 1 species
CCAAUAGCGUAUAUUAAAGUUGUUGCAGUUAAAAAGCUCGUAGUUGAAUUUCGGGUUCAGUUGGUCGGUCGUGCCUCGGUACGUACUGGUCAAAUUGAUUCCUACCUUCUGACGAACCACGAUGUCAUUAAUUUGGUGUCGCGGGAAAUCAGGACUGUUACUUUGAAAAAAUUAGAGUGUUUAAAGCAGGCUCGCGCUUGAAUACAUUAGCAUGGAAUAAUGAAAUAGGACGUUUGAUUCUAUUUUGUUGGUUUCUAGGAUCGACGUAAUGAUUAAUAGGGAUAGUUGGGGGCACUAGUAUUCAAUUGUCAGAGGUGAAAUUCUUGGAUUUAUUGAAGACUAACUACUGCGAAAGCAUUUGCCAAGGAUGUUUUCAUUAAUCAAGGACGAAAGUUAGGGGAUCGAAGACGAUCAGAUACCGUCGUAGUCUUAACCAUAAACUAUGCCGACUAGGGAUCGGAUGAUGUUAAUUUUUUAAUGACUCAUUCGGCGCCUUACG